GUGAGGAAUAUUGGUCAAUGGGCGGGAGCCUGAACCAGCCAAGUCGCGUGAAGGAAGAAGGAUCUAUGGUUCGUAAACUUCUUUUGCAGGGGAAUAAAGUGCAGGACGUGUCCUGUUUUGUAUGUACCCUGAGAAUAAGGAUCGGCUAACUCCGUGCCAGCAGCCGCGGUAAUACGGAGGAUCCGAGCGUUAUCCGGAUUUAUUGGGUUUAAAGGGUGCGGAGGUGGUUUGAUAAGUCAGCGGUGAAAGUUUGCAGCUUAACUGUAAAAAUGCCGUUGAAACUGUCGGACUUGAGUGUAAAUGAGGUAGGCGGAAUGCGUGGUGUAGCGGUGAAAUGCAUAGAUAUCACGCAGAACUCCGAUUGCGAAGGCAGCUUACUAAGCUACAACUGACACUGAAGCACGAAAGCGUGGGGAUCAAACAGGAUUAGAUACCCCGGUAGUCC
rnacentral:rRNA from 1 species